UUCAUUACUUGUAUUCUUUCUUCAAACACAUACUAUGAUUUUAUCACACACUAGAGUCAUUGUAAUACUUCAGUACUUUAAUACAAAUAUACAUGAGUAAUAACGCUAAUUCAAUAUGGCAAAUCACCCUUUUCACAUGUUAUUGGAGCCUUGUGUCUAGUCUAUCCGAUGUCUCAACUUGCAUACCCACUUGCAGCCAAUAAUUUUGGUGCUGUAGAAUUAUACUGUGUAUUUAUAAACUUGAUUCAUUGUAAUACUUCAAUAAUUUAACGUAAAUAUACAUGAGUGAUACUCUAAUUUGUUAUGGGAAAAUCAUUCUUUAGUCUUUACACAGCCUGAUGCUUCUACAAUGUUUUCAAUUGAGAUCAUAAGCUUAUACAAAUUCCAUGGUUCUAUUCAGGAAUUAGAUAUUUUCACUGUGAUUAAACAUGUAAAAGUGGAAUACAUUAUGAAGAGUGGAGUUUGUUUUUCUAUUAUCUGCACUAGAUUAAGAUCAAUGCCUCAGGAUUAACUCUAUUACUUUAUGGAAAGUGCAAUCUGUAUUACAUUUUGGCUCACUAUCUUGUUUUGGAUUUUGAUUAAGAUGGAACCUGCCACGCCUGCAUUAGUUGCAUAUGGAAGUUGCUCAACCGUGUUAAUUUACUUAAUUGUCUGGUAGGCAAAAUUGUAAUAAAAUAAAUCUUAAACCAUGUGUAUGCCUGUACAGGUAUCAUAAUGAAAACACGAACUGUGAUGGAAUGUCUGCAACGUUUUUGCAUGGAAUGCAUUGACAAAUCACUGUGACUUGGUUAUGUAACAAAAAUCAUGAUUUUUUUUUUACUGGUUUUCUGCAUUACGGGCAUCCUGACUCAAUAAUCUUGCCUUUGUUGGGGAAAUCCUGGGAUUGUUCGAAUGAAUGUGUACCAAUCAAAAUUUCUUACUUGAUAUAUUGCAGGAAUGACAAGUGCCUGUUUGUCACACACACACACACACAGUGCAGUUUGGUGUUCUUUUGAGAGAUCCAAAUUAUAAUGCCCUAAUUUCUGCACUAUACCUGGACAUUGAUAAGCAUGAGGAGGAGCUUAAGAUAUUUGUCUUGUCUGUUUCUUGUUCUAAUGUAUUUUAUAGUACUUGUUCAAAUAAAUCACUGCUUCUGAGUGAGUAUUUGGUCCCAGGAACUGGCUUUUCAUGAGGAGGAAAGGA
rnacentral:misc_RNA from 1 species